CAAAAAAAAAAAAAAAAGGUGACAAGAGAAAAACUAUUCUAGUUCAUUAUAUAUACAUAAAUCUAAUAAUUGUGCAAUGCUUUAUCCACUUCCAAGUGACAAAAAGAGGAAGGAAGCAGAUUGUGAAGGCAGAGGAUCCUCGCCAUUGGAGAUCCACGCUGACGCCGCCUCUAUGCAGAGAGUCAGAGCGAUUAAAAGUUAUUCUGAUGUACACUGGAUAUUUCACCAUCUCGCUCACUCAUAGACUUUCACAUCAUUGCUAACGGUAUGUGUUUCCAUUUUUAUUGCCAUUCCUCCAUUUGUUAACAGGUUUUGGCUCUGUCUGUAUUACAGGGAAAUCUUAUUUUUCUAUUGUGAAAGUGAAUGAUAUUUGAUUUGUUAAAAAAGAUGUAUAUGUUUUGUGACUUUUGUCUUAAAAAUCUGAUUAAUGUUUCCCUUUGAAAAGGGCUGGAAUAUACAGGAGGGCAAGGUGGAUAUAAAAGGCAUACAUCAUUAUUUCUCACCAACAUGGCAACAUGGCGAUUCUGCAUGAACCAUAUGUUUGUUGUUUACCUUUGCACCUUUUUUUACAUGUGUAUUGUGAUGUUAAAGGCCUCCCUCAUCUGCUGAUGCCACAAUAUUCCAUCUGUUCAAAUGCUGAUGAUGCCAUUGUUAAUUACACCAAGAGUUUAGCCACAGUUGUUGGGUUUUCCAGAGUUAAAUGGAACAGCAGUGGAAGCGUUGAAUGUUUUGAGCCUAACUAUGAUGCCCUUCUGGAAUGUGUCCUCAUUACAUUACAUGGAGAAACCAUCUGCUCAGUCAUCAGCAGUUCUACUGUGACCCCUUCACCUCUGCAAGAGCACGCCAUCACCCUGCAAAGGAAAUUCAUUUUGGUACUUAAAUCUAAUUCAUCUGGCCACUACCUGAAUUUUAUAAUCAGAGGUGAGGGCUGGAAUGUAGAUCAACUCAACUGUCUGUCCAAAGCAACGCCCACAUUACUGCUGAUGGCGCCCUGGUCCACCUGUUAAUAUCCUGUUCAGUUUUACCCUCACUUGUGAAAGUGUCAUUUUAGAAAUACUUACUGGAGAGUUGUGUCUUUGUGUUUUGAACCAGAUGGAAGUCAGAUGGUGCCAAAUAAUUAGAGCCUGGUGAGUUCUCAGUAUAAGCCCAACACAGAAUGCAC